UACGUAGGGGGCUAGCGUUGUCCGGAAUCAUUGGGCGUAAAGCGCGCGUAGGCGGCCCGGUAAGUCCGCUGUAAAAGUCAAAGGCUCAACCUUUGAAUGUCAGUGGAUACUGCCGGGCUAGAGUCCGGAAGAGGCGAGUGGAACUCCUGGUGUAGCGGUGGAAUGCGCAGAUAUCAGGAAGAACACCGACGGCGAAGGCAGCUCGCUGGGACGGUACUGACGCUGAGGCACGAAAGCGUGGGGAGCGAACAGG
rnacentral:rRNA from 1 species